rnacentral:rRNA from 1 species
ACUGGAGUUUGAUCCUGGCUCAGGACGAACGCUUGCGGCGUGCCUAAGAAAUGCAAGUCGAACGGGGGCUUCGGCCCCAGUGGCGAACGGUCGCGUAACACGUAAGCAACCUGCCCUGAAGUGGGGGACAACAUCCCGAAAGGGGUGCUAAUACCGCAUGUGGUCAUGAGUCGGCAUCGACUUGUGUCUAAAGAUUUAUCGCCUAAGGAUGAGCCCGCGUAAGAUUAGCUUGUUGGUGAGGUAAAAGCUCACCAAGGCGACGAUCUUUAGCUGGUCUGAGAGGAUGAUCAGCCAC